rnacentral:rRNA from 1 species
AUUGAACGCUGGCGGCAGGCCUAACACAUGCAAGUCGAGCGAGCGGCGGACGGGUUAGUAAUAUCUGGGAAACUGCCUGAUGGAGGGGGAUAACUACUGGAAACGGUAGCUAAUACCGCAUACCAUCAGAUCUGCCCAGAUGGUAUUAGCUAGUAGGUGGGGUAACGGCUCAACUAGGCGACGAUCCCUAGCUGGUCUGAGAGGAUGACCAGCCACACUGGAACUGAGACACGGUCCAGACGCCUACGGGAGGCAGCAGUGGGGAAUAUUGCACAAUGGGCGCAAGCCUGAUACAGCCAUGCCGCGUGUGUGAAGAAGGCCUUCGGGUUGUAAAGCACUGUCAGCGGGGAGGCGUUACCCGCAGAAGAAGCAACGGCUAACUCCGUGCCAGCAGCCGCGGUAAUAC